rnacentral:rRNA from 1 species
UACGUAGGGGGCAAGCGUUGUCCGGAAUCAUUGGGCGUAAAGAGCGUGUAGGCGGCUUGGCAAGUCUGGUGUGAAAUCUUGCGGCUCAACCGCAAGCGGUCACUGGAAACUGCCUCGCUAGAGUCCGGAAGAGGAGAGCGGAAUUCCUGGUGUAGCGGUGGAAUGCGCAGAUAUCAGGAGGAACACCGGUGGCGAAGGCGGGUCUCUGGAACGGUACUGACGCUGAGACGCGGAAGCGUGGGGAGCGAACAGG